rnacentral:tRNA from 1 species
GUCGCCUUCGUCUAGUGGUUAGGACACCGGGUUUUCAUCCCGGCAACAGGGGUUCAAUUCCCCUAGGCGAUG